rnacentral:misc_RNA from 1 species
GAUGAAGAACGCAGCGAAAUGCGAUAAGUAGUGUGAAUUGCAGAAUUCAGUGAAUCAUCGAAUCUUUGAACGCACAUUGCGCCCCUUGGUAUUCCAUGGGGCAUGCCUGUCCGAGCGUCAUUUGUACCUUCAAGCUUUGCUUGGUGUUGGGUGUUUGUCCUGAGGGACUCGCCUUAAAGUAAUUGGCAGCCAGUGUUUGGUUUUGAAGCGCAGCACAAGUCGCGAUUCAAAGCUAUACGCCCGCUUCCACAAGCCUUUUUCACUUUUGACCUCGGAUCAGGUAGGGAUACCCGCUGAACUUAAGCAUAUCAAUAAGCGGAGGA